AACGAACGCUGGCGGCAGGCCUAACACAUGCAAGUCGAGCGAAGCCUUCGGGCUUAGCGGCGGACGGGUGAGUAACGCGUGGGAACGUGCCCUUUGGUACGGAAUAGCCCCGGGAAACUGGGAGUAAUACCGUAUGUGGUCGAGAGACGAAAGAUUUAUCGCCAAAGGAUCGGCCCGCGUUGGAUUAGGUAGUUGGUGGGGGAAUGGCCUACCAAGCCGACGAUCCAUAGCUGGUUUGAGGGGAUGAUCAGCCACACUGGGACUGAGACACGGCCCAGACUCCUACGGGGAGCAGCAGUGGGGAAUCUUAGACAAGGGGGGAAACCCUGAUCUAGCCAUGCCGCGUGAUCGAUGAAGGCCUUAGGGUUGUAAAGAUCUUUCAGUGGGGAAGAUAAUGACUGUACCCACAGAAGAAGCCCCGGCUAACUCCGUGCCAGCCGCCGCAGUAAGAC
rnacentral:rRNA from 1 species